rnacentral:misc_RNA from 1 species
GUUUGAACUGAGGAUCUGUGGGGUCCAAUGCAAAGAGGUGUGAUUUAAAGAGAGAUGAAAACCGUGGAUCUUCAUAAUCUAUAGUUGGCAACUUGUCCUCUACUGGAGUUCCUUUACCCUUCUUCCCCUUCGCCUUUUUAGGUUUCAUGUUGUAACCCUUCAAGUUAGGGUCUCCUCCUUUGUCAUCUGCAAGUAAUAGCUCAAGCUCUGCUCUACUUGCUUCAGCUUCUUCAGAUGCUUCAAGGCUCUGCUUCCCUUUCCUGGUGCUCUUACGUUGGGAAUCCUUAUCCCCUUUUGCGGAAGGCUCUUCAAUGAAGAAGUCCUCAGGUUCAUCUAUAGGUUCUUGAUCACUAUCGCUGCUCUCAUCUUCUGAUGAAUCCUUGGUGUUACCUUUCCUGGACUUCUUUUUCUCCCUUUUCUUUCUGAGAUAAGCUUCCCACACAGUUUCCGACUGUUUAUCCUUCUUUUCUAGGAUACGUUUGCUUAGAUCUUCCAAUCCAGUGUUAAAUGUGACCUCCAUGUCCUGGUCAUCGUCCUCGUUAUUUCCAUCUGAACCCUCCCCAGACUGGAGUAACGCACGGUAGGUAUCAUGUUUUUUCUUCCUUUUGGCAGAUUUAUCUUCUGUGUCAUCAUCACCUUCCUCACUAUCAUCACUUCCACUCUCAUCAGAAGCCAAAAACUCUUUCAACUCCAUAUCUGCAAGCUGUUUAUCAUUG